UGAUAGUGAACCUGACCUACUUCUGUGGGCUAAAUUGUGUUCCCCUAAACUUCAUGCGUGAAGCCCUACCCCCCAAGUGAUGGUUUGGGAGGUGGGGUCUUUGGGAGGUAAUUAGGUUUUGAUGAGGUCAUGAGUUGGGUCUUUCAUGGUGGGAUUGGUCCCUUUAUGAGAUACCAAGAGCUUGCUGCCUUUCCUUCUGUGUCUCCACCACAUGAGGUCACAGAGAGAAGGUGGCCAUCUGCCAACCAGGAAGAGGCUCCUCACCAGGGAACUGAAUCUGCCAGCACCUUGAUCUUGGACUCCACAGCCUCCAGAACUAGGCAAGAGGAAGCCUGGGCAGAGGGAAGGCAUUUUUUGGAAACUCGUUGGGAGCUCUAAAAACCCCACCCCACGACUGGCAGGUCACUCUGACUUCUCUCUGCUGGAGACAGGGAUGGAGUGGGGGCCAGAUCUUGGCCGGAAGCCCCUGCGGCAUAACCAACCCUCUCGCCCACCCAGGCUGGCCCGGGAGGCAGCUGUCUCCAGGGGCUUCUCGAUCACCAACGCCUACAUUGCCAAGAAGGAAGACACCUUCACCGGCUUCCAGUCCAGCAUUUCUCAAAAUGGGGUCUUUGAAUGAAUUAUGCUGGAUAUGAACGUGUGCUGCACAGAAGUAGCAUACCAGAGUCAGAUGCACUUGAGAGAUGCUCAUAGUCAAGUGUAUUCUUUUGAAGAGCAGGACUUCUCCGAAUCUCACAUUUGCACGUGUAAGGGGACUAUCCAAGAAAGGGCCAUAGGAAGCUAUUGACCAAAAAUGUAUUUAAUUUGGUUAAUAUUAUCUUUGUGUGUGUGAGGAUCACCCAGUAGCUCUACUGCUCUGGGUGGGGGCAAGGAUGCCAAGCAUAUGUAGUUUAUUUCUCUAAAAUUACUCUAAACUCCCUUAUGAGCCUGCACCCAGCGGGUAGAAGGGAAGAAGGGAGGAAAGGAAGGAGGGGGUGAGGAAGGGGGAGAGGGAGAGAAGGAAGCUGACUUUUGUUCAGUCUGGUUUAAAACGUCCCAAUCCAACCGUCUUAACUGUUCAUUGGAUCGACGCCUUCUCUUUACUCACUCUUUCCUUUUCCUCCCCAGCUCUCCCUACUGCCCCGAAGAUGUGGCUGGAUGUUUGGGGAAGAGGCUUAUAACCUCACGGUAGGUAGGGGUGGACACAGAGCCAGGUCCUCUGGGGGUGGGCCAGCUGAUGCCCCCCAAGGUCCUGUCCCACUAAGGGCUUCUCUGGACCUUUUCCGUGGUCAGAGCACCAUUUAACAGUCCCUUUGAGUCACCUCACAGUGUAUUAACAUAUGUACCUCUUUCGACCGUGUCCUAAGCAAUAAAAUCCUCAAACUGG